CCAAGCGUACACGGUGGAUGCCCUGGCAGUCAGAGGCGAUGAAGGACGUGCUAAUCUGCGAAAAGCGCCGGUAAGGUGAUAUGAACCGUUAUAGCCGGCGAUGUCCGAAUGGGGAAACCCAGUGUGUUUCGACACACUAUCAUUAACUGAAUCCAUAGGUUAAUGAGGCGAACCGGGGGAACUGAAACAUCUAAGUACCCCGAGGAAAAGAAAUCAACCGAGAUUCCCCCAGUAGCGGCGAGCGAACGGGGAGGAGCCCAGAGCCUGAAUCAGCAUGUGUGUUAGUGGAAGCGUCUGGAAAGGCGCGCGAUACAGGGUGACAGCCCCGUACACAAAAGCGCACGUGCUGUGAGCUCGAUGAGUAGGGCGGGACACGUGGUAUCCUGUCUGAAUAUGGGGGGACCAUCCUCCAAGGCUAAAUACUCCUGACUGACCGAUAGUGAACCAGUACCGUGAGGGAAAGGCGAAAAGAACCCCGGCGAGGGGAGUGAAACAGAACCUGAAACCGUGUACGUACAAGCAGUGGGAGCACAGGUUUACCUGUGUGACUGCGUACCUUUUGUAUAAUGGGUCAGCGACUUAUAUUCUGUAGCAAGGUUAACCGAAUAGGGGAGCCGGAGGGAAACCGAGUCUUAAUUGGGCGUUAAGUUGCAGGGUAUAGACCCGAAACCCGGUGAUCUAGCCAUGGGCAGGUUGAAGGUUGGGUAACACUAACUGGAGGACCGAACCGACUAAUGUUGAAAAAUUAGCGGAUGACCUGUGGCUGGGGGUGAAAGGCCAAUCAAACCGGGAGAUAGCUGGUUCUCCCCGAAAGCUAUUUAGGUAGCGCCUCGUGAAUUCAUCUCCGGGGGUAGAGCACUGUUUCGGCUAGGGGGCCAUCCCGGCUUACCAACCCGAUGCAAACUGCGAAUACCGGAGAAUGUUAUCACGGGAGACACACGGCGGGUGCUAACGUCCGUCGUGAAGAGGGAAACAACCCAGACCGCCAGCUAAGGUCCCAAAGUCAUGGUUAAGUGGGAAACGAUGUGGGAAGGCCCAGACAGCCAGGAUGUUGGCUUAGAAGCAGCCAUCAUUUAAAGAAAGCGUAAUAGCUCACUGGUCGAGUCGGCCUGCGCGGAAGAUGUAACGGGGCUAAACCAUGCACCGAAGCUGCGGCAGCGAACGUAUCACCCAAGACAACUUUGCGGAGUUGACGAUUGACGGAGCGAAGCGACGUCAAAGCGUUCAUUAAAGUCGAGUUGGCUUAGGGAUACGUUCGUUGGGUAGGGGAGCGUUCUGUAAGCCUGUGAAGGUGUGCUGUGAGGCAUGCUGGAGGUAUCAGAAGUGCGAAUGCUGACAUAAGUAACGAUAAAGCGGGUGAAAAGCCCGCUCGCCGGAAGACCAAGGGUUCCUGUCCAACGUUAAUCGGGGCAGGGUGAGUCGACCCCUAAGGCGAGGCCGAAAGGCGUAGUCGAUGGGAAACGGGUUAAUAUUCCCGUACUUGGUGUUACUGCGAAGGGGGGACGGAGAAGGCUAUGUUGGCCGGGCGACGGUUGUCCCGGUUUAAGCGUGUAGGCUGGUUUUCCAGGCAAAUCCGGAAAAUCAAGGCUGAGGCGUGACGACGAGGCACCACGGUGCUGAAGCAACAAAUGCCCUGCUUCCAGGAAAAGCCUCUAAGCAUCAGGUAACACGAAAUCGUACCCCAAACCGACACAGGUGGUCAGGUAGAGAAUACCAAGGCGCUUGAGAGAACUCGGGUGAAGGAACUAGGCAAAAUGGUGCCGUAACUUCGGGAGAAGGCACGCUGACACGUAGGUGAAGUGAUUUACUCAUGGAGCUGAAGUCAGUCGAAGAUACCAGCUGGCUGCAACUGUUUAUUAAAAACACAGCACUGUGCAAACACGAAAGUGGACGUAUACGGUGUGACGCCUGCCCGGUGCCGGAAGGUUAAUUGAUGGGGUUAUCCUCGCGGAGAAGCUCCUGAUCGAAGCCCCGGUAAACGGCGGCCGUAACUAUAACGGUCCUAAGGUAGCGAAAUUCCUUGUCGGGUAAGUUCCGACCUGCACGAAUGGCGUAAUGAUGGCCAGGCUGUCUCCACCCGAGACUCAGUGAAAUUGAACUCGCUGUGAAGAUGCAGUGUACCCGCGGCAAGACGGAAAGACCCCGUGAACCUUUACUAUAGCUUGACACUGAACAUUGAGCCUUGAUGUGUAGGAUAGGUGGGAGGCUUUGAAGCGUGGACGCCAGUCUGCGUGGAGCCAACCUUGAAAUACCACCCUUUAAUGUUUGAUGUUCUAACGUGGACCCGUUACCCGGGUUGCGGACAGUGUCUGGUGGGUAGUUUGACUGGGGCGGUCUCCUCCCAAAGAGUAACGGAGGAGCACGAAGGUUGGCUAAUCCUGGUCGGACAUCAGGAGGUUAGUGCAAUGGCAUAAGCCAGCUUGACUGCGAGCGUGACGGCGCGAGCAGGUGCGAAAGCAGGUCAUAGUGAUCCGGUGGUUCUGAAUGGAAGGGCCAUCGCUCAACGGAUAAAAGGUACUCCGGGGAUAACAGGCUGAUACCGCCCAAGAGUUCAUAUCGACGGCGGUGUUUGGCACCUCGAUGUCGGCUCAUCACAUCCUGGGGCUGAAGUAGGUCCCAAGGGUAUGGCUGUUCGCCAUUUAAAGUGGUACGCGAGCUGGGUUUAGAACGUCGUGAGACAGUUCGGUCCCUAUCUGCCGUGGGCGCUGGAGAACUGAGGGGGGCUGCUCCUAGUACGAGAGGACCGGAGUGGACGCAUCACUGGUGUUCGGGUUGUCAUGCCAAUGGCACUGCCCGGUAGCUAAAUGCGGAAGAGAUAAGUGCUGAAAGCAUCUAAGCACGAAACUUGCCCCGAGAUGAGUUCUCCCUGAGACUAUAAGUCUCCUGAAGGAACGUUGAAGACGACGACGUUGAUAGGCCGGGUGUGUAAGCGCAGCGAUGCGUUGAGCUAACCGGUACUAAUGAACCGUGAGGCUUAACC
rnacentral:rRNA from 1 species